rnacentral:rRNA from 1 species
UACAGAGGUCCCAAGCGUUGUUCGGAUUCAUUGGGCGUAAAGGGUGCGUAGGCGGCGCGGUAAGUCGGGUGUGAAAUCUCGGAGCUUAACUCCGAACUGCAUUCGAUACUGCCGUGCUUGAGGACUGGAGAGGAGACUGGAAUUUACGGUGUAGCGGUGAAAUGCGUAGAUAUCGUAAGGAAGACCAGUGGCGAAGGCGGGUCUCUGGACAGUUCCUGACGCUGAGGCACGAAGGCCAGGGGAGCAAACGGG